rnacentral:lncRNA from 1 species
CUCCAGUGAUUGCUUUGCAGAAUGGCCUGAGUGAGGAUGAAGCUCUGCAGCGGGCCCUGGAAAUGUCCCUGGCAGAAACCAAACCCCAGGUUCCAAGGCCCAGAGCCGCAGCUCGAAGCCGUCCAACUGCAGCCUGUGCUAGGGCCCUGGGCUUGGGGAGGGAGGUUCACCUGAGGAGGACUGUGGCCCUCACACCUCUAGGGUACACAGGGAGAGGAGGCCCGGAGCACCCUGGAGGGCAGAGACAAGCGGGAGUGAUGUGGAGGUCGCCCUGGGAGCCUCUGGAAGGCCUUGCUAGUGCUCCAGCUGCAUGGAAGAGAGCGGCUAGCAACUGUUCCCUGGUUGGGCCCUCAGUGGAUGCUGGCCAGGCCCUACUCUUAGCCCCUUCAUCAUGUCAUCUCCCUUAUGCUGGAGCUGCCCCGAUGUGGAGUGGGCAGGAAGGGGCCUGGAAAAAAUAAAGGAUCUUGGCAGUUGAUAAAACGUA